GAAUUUUGGACAAUGGGCGAAAGCCUGAUCCAGCAAUGCCGCGUGCAGGAUGAAGGCCUUCGGGUUGUAAACUUCUUUUGUCCGGAACGAAAAGCUUUGGGUUAAUCCCCUGGAGGCAUGACGGUAUCUUAAGAAUCAGCCCCGGCUCACUCCGUACCCGCAGCCGGGGUAAUACGUGGGGUGCAAGCGUUAAUCGGAAUUACUGGGCGUAAAGCGUGCGCAGGCGGUUUUGUAAGACAGAGGUGAAUCCCCGGGCUCAACCUGGGAACUGCCUUUGUGACUGCAAGGCUAGAGUACGGCAGAGGGGGGUGGAAUUCCGCGUGUAGCGGUGAAAUGCGUAGAUAUGCGGAGGAACACCGAUGGCGAAGGCAACCCCCUGGGCCUGUACUGACGCUCAUGCACGAAAGCGUGGGGAGCAAACA
rnacentral:rRNA from 1 species